rnacentral:tRNA from 1 species
GUUUAGUUAGCAUAAUUAGUAAUGCAAUUGUUUUGUAAUCAAUAGACUGUAAGUGCAAGUCUUACACUAAACA